CGGCAGGAGCUCAAAUUUGAAAUCUGGGGUCCCCGACCUCCGAGUUGUAAUUUGGAGAGGCAUCUUCGGGGGGGAGCGCUGGCCCAUGUUCCUUGGAACAGGACGUCGCAGAGGGUGAGAAUCCCGUGCCAGGCCGGCUGCCUCCGUCCCGCGUGAAGGGCCUUCGACGAGUCGAGUUGUUUGGGAAUGCAGCUCCAAGUGGGUGGUAAAUUUCAUCUAAAGCUAAAUACCGGCGGGAGACCGAUAGCGCACAAGUAGAGUGAUCGAAAGAUGAAAAGCACUUUGAAAAUAGAGUCAAAAAGUACGUGAAAUUGUUGAAAGGGAAGCGCUUGAGACCAGACUCAGACCCGGGCAAACAUCGCGCCCCUCGGGGCCGUGCAAUUGCCCGGGGCUGGGCCAGCAUCAGUUGGCGUGGCGGGACAAAGGCGCGGGGAAUGUGGCUCCCCUCGGGGAGUGUUAUUAGGCCCUCGCUCAAUGCCGCCGACGCCGACUGAGGACCGCGCCUAGGCUAGGAUGCUGGCUUAAUGGCCUUCAGCGACCCGUCUUUGAAACACGGA
rnacentral:rRNA from 1 species